AUACGGAGGGAGCAAGCGUUAUUCGGAAUCACUGGGCGUAAAGGACGCGUAGGCGGGUUUGUAAGUCAGGUGUGAAGUCCUACAGCUCAACUGUAGAACUGCACUUGAAACUACAGACCUAGAGUAUGGAAGGGGCAGAUGGAAUUAGUGGUGUAGGGGUAAAAUCCGUAGAUAUCACUAGGAAUACCGAAAGCGAAGGCGAUCUGCUGGGACAUUACUGACGCUGAGGCGUGAAAGCGUGGGGAGCAAACAGAAUUAGAUACCCUAGUAGUCC
rnacentral:rRNA from 1 species